rnacentral:tRNA from 1 species
UAAUGACGGGUCUGAAGGGAAAAACUGCGGCAACGGCCUGCGCUGCGUCGCAAAAUACGCAUAUGAGCAUAAGCUGG